rnacentral:rRNA from 1 species
AAGGAUUUAAAAGUCGAACAGACUUAUUAAUUAAACUUCUGCACCUAAUCAUAUUCCUUAAUCCAACAUCGAGGUCGCAAUCUUUCUUGUCGAUAAGAACUCUCAAAAAAAAUUACG